rnacentral:lncRNA from 10 species
UAUUCUCCUUCAAAUUUCUAAAUAAAAUGCUUGUGCUGCUAUUGAGUUAUCCAGUAGGGACAUCAAUAAGCUUCCCAUUAGGCUAGGAGACUCUUUCUUACACUUUCCUCCAUAUUUUGCCUCCCUCUAUUCUCUCGAUAUAGAUAAAUUAUAAUUUUUGGUUAAAUCUAUCCUCUGUGUUUCCAUUAUUAGAUAAUUGCUCAAUGCUGAGGACAGGAGUGCACUAUCAUUUUACUUCCUUUGCCUUCUGGUGUGCAGGGUUGCUACUGAGAAAUCCUGUGCCCUUCUACUUUCUGUUCCUCUGAACAGAACCUGUUUUAUCCGUCUAGGGAAAUGUUUACGGUCUUCUCUUCAUUCACGGUUUCUGAAAUUCCAAAGUGGUAUAAGCUGGCAUGGAUCUUUUCAAAUCCACAGGAAAUAUUCUGGCACCAAACCCAAUCAGGACAGAGGACAAGGGAACCAGCUGAUACCAUUUGGGGAAGUCACAGAGAAGGGAGGAGAAUGGAUACGGUGGGUGCGUGCAUGCGUGCGUGUGUGUGUGUGUGUAUUUACAGGGGCAAUUAGAGAAAACAUUCCAAUCUCUUUAUUUGAAUCAAGAGAUCCAAAUGGAUUUGGGAUAGAAAUUGGUAUAUUUUGGAAAUCAGAGUAUUUAGAUAAACCAAGAGAGAAA